rnacentral:rRNA from 1 species
CAUAUCAAUAAGCGGAGGAAAAGAAACUAACAAGGAUUCCCCUAGUAACUGCGAGUGAAGCGGGAAAAGCUCAAAUUUAAAAUCUGUCAGUCUUUGGCUGUCCGAGUUGUAAUCUAGAGAAGUGUUAUCCGCGCUGGACCGUGUACAAGUCUCCUGGAAUGGAGCGUCAUAGAGGGUGAGAAUCCCGUCUUUGACACGGACUGCCAGGGCUUUGUGAUGUGCUCUCAAAGAGUCGAGUUGUUUGGGAAUGCAGCUCAAAAUGGGUGGUAAAUUCCAUCUAAAGCUAAAUAUUGGCGAGAGACCGAUAGCGAACAAGUACCGUGAGGGAAAGAUGAAAAGAACUUUGGAAAGAGAGUUAAACAGUACGUGAAAUUGCUGAAAGGGAAACGCUUGAAGUCAGUCGCGUUGUCCAGGGAUCAACCUUGCUUUUGCUUGGUGUACUUUCUGGUUGACGGGUCAGCAUCAAUUUUGACCAUUGGAAAAAUAUCAGGGGAAUGUGGCAUCUUCGGAUGUGUUAUAGCCCUUGGUUGUAUACAAUGGUUGGGAUUGAGGAACUCAGCACGCCGCAAGGCCGGGUUUUUAACCACGUACGUGCUUAGGAUGCUGGCAAAAUGGCUUUAAUCGACCCGUCUUGAAACACGGACCAAGGAGUCUAACAUACCUGCGAGUGUUUGGGUGGAAAACCCGAGCGCGUAAUGAAAGUGAAAGUUGAGAUCCCUGUCAUGGGGAGCAUCGACGCCCGGACCAGACCUUUUGUGACGGUUCCGCGGUAGAGCAUGUAUGUUGGGACCCGAAAGAUGGUGAACUAUGCCUGAAUAGGGUGAAGCCAGAGGAAACUCUGGUGGAGGCUCGUAGCGAUUCUGACGUGCAAAUCGAUCGUCAAAUUUGGGUAUAGGGGCGAAAGA